CCCUUAGAUGUCCUGGGCCGCACGCGCGUUACACUGAUGCAUUCAACGAGCUUAUAACCUUGGCCGAGAGGCCUGGGCAAUCUUGUUAACGUGCAUCGUGAUAGGGAUAGAUUAUUGAAAUUAUUAAUCUUGAACGAGGAAUUCCUAGUAAACGCAGAUCAUCAAUCUGCAUUGAUUACGUCCCUGCCCUUUGUACACACCGCCCGUCGCACCUACCGAUUGGAUGGUCCGGUGAAGCCUCGGGAUUGUGGUUCUUGCCGCUUUAUUUUGGCGUGACCGCGAGAACUUGUCUAAACCUUAUCAUCUAGAGGAAGGUGAAGUCGUAACA
rnacentral:rRNA from 1 species